CCGGCGACCGGCGCACGGUGAGUAACACGUAUGCAACCUGGCCGUGACAGAUGGAUAACCGGGAGAAAUCCCGCCUAAUACAACAUAAUGCCGGGAGGGGACAUCCCCUGCCGGCCAAAGGGGGCGACCCCGGUCACGGAUGGGCAUGCGGCGCAUUAGGUAGUUGGUGGGGCAACGGCCCACCAAGCCGACGAUGCGUAGGGGUUCUGAGAGGAAGGUCCCCCACAUUGGAACUGAGACACGGUCCAAACUCCUACGGGAGGCAGCAG
rnacentral:rRNA from 1 species